CACAAGCAGGAAGAAAUGACACGCUACUCACCCCAAAAGGUAAGGGAGAUUCACCUGUAAACUUUUGAAUGUCCGACGGCGCCGUGCUUUAUUUAUGUAUUUAUUUAUUGCGCAACGAGGAGCUGAAUCUCAAAAUUCACAACAUUAGUUAGAUCCAUGAAAAAUCUUCCAAGUAAGUCUACUUCAAUGUCUUUCUGUGACUCUUCCAGUCUCUCUCUCUUGCGCCCUGCUGAUGUCAUUCUAUGAGCGCCCGAGGUCAUUCUUUGGCAACAGAUGAUCAGAACCUUCUUUUAGGAACGGAAACCCAACAAGUCAGCAGACGUGCACUGCAGCCAAAAUGUGCCACACGCGUUCAAACAGCCCCAAAUUGAACGACUUACAUCGCACAUAUAGCCGCUGCGCACGACGUUCGCCCACGCAUCUCUUCAUGGGCCGAUGCACCGAGUACAUCCUGGUGCACAGGUACAUCUCCUCCCUGCAGUCUACACGGGCACACAAGCAGAGGUGUCAAAAUAUCAUUCCAUCGUAUUAUUCUUGGUAAAAAAAAAAAUGCCGUUAUGACAUCAUGAAAUCAAAAUGAAAACUAGCUGAGCAUUUUUUUUUUUGGCCACACUUUCUCCUUCAGUGCAUGUGCUGCUCAUGCCUUGGCCACCUGGGGGCAGUAUAAGACUCAUUCGAAUAAAUUGUACUGGACUCUCAGCUCCUCUCUUGGCUUCUCACGAUGGCAGUAAUCAUCAUUCUUUGCAGAGGAUAAAGAAUAUCUGCCUACAUGUUGUGGUGGCCCACUUACUGGCUGGCGGGAGGGUCCUGGCGGGUGCCUCGGUGGUCUCUGGUGACGAGAAAAAGGAAAGUCACAGCGCAAUAUGCAGCAAUGUGUUGAUCAAUAAGAGGAGUCUUUUCGUGAAACGUUACCGAUCUCCUGGGCUUGG